rnacentral:rRNA from 1 species
AGCAUAUCAAUAAGCGGAGGAAAAGAAACCAACAGGGAUUGCCCUAGUAACGGCGAGUGAAGCGGCAACAGCUCAAAUUUGAAAGCUGGCUCCGGCCCGCAUUGUAAUUUGCAGAGGAUGCUUUUGGCGAGGUGCCUUCCGAGUUCCCUGGAACGGGACGCCAUAGAGGGUGAGAGCCCCGUAUGGAUGGACACCAAACCUGUGUAAAGCUCCUUCAACGAGUCGAGUAGUUUGGGAAUGCUGCUCUAAAUGGGAGGUAAAUCUCUUCUAAAGCUAAAUACCGGCCAGAGACCGAUAGCGCACAAGUAGAGUGAUCGAAAGAUGAAAAGCACCUUGAAAAGGGGGUUAAACAGUACGUGAAAUUGUUGAAAGGGAAGCGCUUGUGACCAGACUUGCGCCGGGCAGCUCAUCAGGGGUUCUCCCCUGUGCACUCUGCCCGGCUCAGGCCAGCAUCGGUUCUCGUGGGAGGAUAAGAACAGUGGGAACGUGGCCCCCUCUCGGGGGGGUGUUAUAGCCCAUUGUACGAUACUCUCGUGGGGACCGAGGUUCGCGCUCCGCAAGGAUGCUGGCGUAAUGGUCAUCAGCGACCCGUCUUGAAACACGGACCAAGGAGUCGUCCAUUAGAGCGAGCGUUUGGGUGUAAAACCCGCACGCGUAAUGAAAGUGAACGCAGGUGAGAGCUUCGGCGCAUCAUCGACCGAUCCUGAUGUCUUCGGAUGGAUUUGAGUAAGAGUUUUAACGGACGGACCCGAAAGACAGUGAACUAUGCUUGUAUAGGGUGAAGCCAGAGGAAACUCUGGUGGAGGCUCGCAGCGGUUCUGACGUGCAAAUCGAUCGUCAAAUAUGAGCAUGGGGGCGAAAGACUAAUCGAACUGUCUAGUAGCUGGUUACCGC